rnacentral:rRNA from 1 species
CCUACGGGAGGCAGCAGUGAGGAAUAUUGGUCAAUGGGCGGAAGCCUGAACCAGCCAAGUCGCGUGCGGGAUGAAGGCCCUACGGGUCGUAAACCGCUUUUGCACGGGGAUAACACCCUCCACGUGUGGAGCUCUGCAGGUACCGGUCGAAUAAGCGUCGGCUAAUUCCGUGCCAGCAGCCGCGGUAAUACGGAGGACCCGAGCGUUAUCCGGAUUUAUUGGGGUUAAAGGGUGCGCAGGCGGACGUGCAAGUCAGCGGUAAAAUCGCGGGGCUCAACCGCGCCCCGCGGUUGAAACUGGGCGCCUUGAGUGCGCGAAGGGCAGGCGGAAUGCGUGGUGUAGCGGUGAAAUGCAUAGAUAUCACGAGGAACCCCGAUUGCGAAGGCAGCCUGCCGGCGCGCGACUGACGCUGAGGCACGAAGGCGUGGGUAUCGAACAGGAUUAGAUACCCUGGUAGUC